rnacentral:misc_RNA from 1 species
CGCACAUUGCGCCCUCUGGUAUUCCGGAGGGCAUGCCUGUUCGAGCGUCAUUUCAACCCUCAAGCUCUGCUUGGUAUUGGGCAACGUCCGCUGCCGGACGUGCCUUGAAGACCUCGGCGACGGCGUCCUAGCCUCGAGCGUAGUAGUAAAAUAUCUCGCUUUGGAGUGCUGGGCGACGGCCGCCGGACAAUCGACCUUCGGUCUAUUUUUCCAAGGUUGACCUCGGAUCAGGUAGGGAUACCCGCUGAACUUAA